UUAGGUAAGGGUGGAAAGGCGAGGUAAGAGCUCACCAGCAUCAUGGUGACAUGAUGGCUAUGUAAACCCCACCUGGAGCAAGGUCGAAUAGGGAAACAUAAUGGGGUAGCCCGCUCCGUUUCCGGGUGUACCGCUUGAGCUCAUUGGCAACAAUGGGCCUAGAUAGAUGAUUGCUUAAUACAGAACUCCGCUUACGGCUUAUCUCGUAAC
rnacentral:RNase_P_RNA from 1 species